rnacentral:lncRNA from 1 species
GUGAUAUACCGCCACAUUACAUAAUACGUUAGUUUAAAGAGCCUCUGAAGUCUGACAUGUGAUUAAAUUCAUAAUUCAUCAAGGCAAGCACUUCCAAAACUAAACAAAAAUUUGUACAAACAUAAUCAAAUCAAAUAAAUAAAUAAAAGCACAUAUGGGGAUCAGAAGUGGUUAAAGGUUGUCGGUAACGGUUAAUUCAGAAACACGAACCAAUUAAUUCCUCAUCAUUUCUCCAAAUUAACAAACAAAAAAAGCAGUAAAUUUAAACAAAUAUUUGUUCAUCAUCAGAGACUUAAAUACGAAUAAUAAUCACAAACAAAUAUCAUUUUGUUGCAGUUAUUUUUCUCAUCACUUGAUCAACAAACAAACAAACAAACAACAUCCAGUUAUUACAAUAACAUAUAACAAAAACUUGAAAAAAAAGUAUAACAGAGAUCUAACUCAUUCAGUGGACACCCCAAUCACUAGUUUAUAACAAACAAAAAAACAAUUGAAAACAAUUACAUAAGAAUAUAAUGUAGGUAAAUCCGUAAUGGAACAAAAAGUUCCAAAACUGCAAACUAAUUCAGAAGAUUUAAAAACCAUCCGAGCAACAAGUUCGAUACCGUCACUAUAUGCUCCUUCUGACAUGUGAUUAGAUUCAUAAUUCAUCAACGCAUCAUUUUUUUUAAAAAGAAAAAGCAAACAACAAAUUCAAAUCAAUGAAAACAAAGCUUAAUUCCUCAAAUCAAAAACUAAAAAGGUAUUGAAAACAAAAUUGGAGAUCAGAAGUGGUUAAAGGUUGUCGGUCACGGUUAAUUCAGAAACACGGACCAAUUAAUUAUUCAUCAUUUCUCCAAAUUAAUAAAACAAUAUAAGUAAGUUUAAACAAAUAUUUGUCCAUCAUCAGAGACUUAAAUACGAAUAAUAAUCACAAACAAAUAUCAUUUUGUUGCAG